rnacentral:ncRNA from 2 species
GAAUAUAUUUUGUGUUCAGGUCCCUGGUAAGCAGGGAUAAAGGGAACCGGGUUAGAAUCCCAGACGGUCCGGCCACUGUAUUUGGCGCGGCCGCUCCAGAGCCACUGGGCAGUAUGCCUGGGAAGGCGGGGCGGGCGGGGAGCCAUAAGUCAGGAAACCUGCCUGUUCACGUAGCGGUGU